UACGUAGGGUGCAAGCGUUGUCCGGAAUUAUUGGGCGUAAAGCGCACGUAGGCGGUUCGUUAAGUCGGAUGUGAAAGCCCUCGGCUCAACUGAGGAAGUGCACCCGAAACUGGCGAGCUUGAGUACGAAAGAGGAUCGCGGAAUUCCCGGUGUAGAGGUGAAAUUCGUAGAUAUCGGGAGGAACACCGGUGGCGAAGGCGGCGAUCUGGGUCGAUACUGACGCUGAGGUGCGAAAGCGUGGGGAGCAACAGG
rnacentral:rRNA from 1 species